rnacentral:rRNA from 1 species
CCUACGGGGGGCAGCAGUGGGGGAUAUUGCACAAUGGGGGAAACCCUGAUGCAGCGACGCCGCGUGAGUGAAGAAGUAUUUCGGUACGUAAAGCUCUAUCAGCAGGGAAGAAUAAUGACGGUACCUGACUAAGAAGCCCCGGCUAACUACGUGCCAGCAGCCGCGGUAAUACGUAGGGGGCAAGCGUUAUCCGGAUUUAGUGGGUGUGAAGGGAGCGUAGACGGCGGGGCAAGUCUGAAGUGAAAUGCAGGGGAGCAGCCCAGGAACUGCUUUGGAAACUGUACAGGUAGAGUGCAGGAGGGGUG